CCCGGUGAACUCACCUGGAUGGCCAUACCCGUUCCCUUUCCGAACACGGCCGUCAAGCAUCCAGGGCCGAUGGUAGUCCUUCAAGGGCGAGAGUAGGUCAUCGCCGGGU
rnacentral:rRNA from 1 species